AGAACGAACGCUGGCGGCAGGCUUAACACAUGCAAGUCGAACGAAUGCGGCAAUGCAUUAGUGGCGCACGGGUGAGUAACGCGUGGAUAUCUGCCUUUUGGUUCGGGAUAACCUUGGGAAACUAGGGCUAAUACCGAAUGGUUCCUACGGGAUAAAGAUUUAUCGCCAAAAGAUGAGUCCGCGUCCGAUUAGCUAGUUGGUGGGGUAAUGGCCCACCAAGGCGACGAUCGGUAGCUGGUCUGAGAGGACGAUCAGCCACACUGGGACUGAGACACGGCCCAGACUCCUACGGGAGGCAGCAGUGGGGAAUAUUGGACAAUGGGGGCAACCCUGAUCCAGCCAUGCCGCGUGAGUGAUGAAGGCCUUCGGGUUGUAAACCUCUUUUCUCAGGGAAGAUAAUGACGGUACCUGAGGAAUAAGCCACGGCUAACUACGUGCCAGCAGCCGC
rnacentral:rRNA from 1 species